UAUAUUUACCUUUAUCGUUAUCUUUAUCCUUACCUUUAUCUUUACCUUUACCUUUAUCUUUCUUUACCUUGAUCUUUAUCCUUACCUUUAUCGUUAUCUUUACCUUGAUCUUUAUCCUUACCUUUACCUUUAUCUUUACCUUGAUCUUUAUCCUUACCUUUACCUUUAUCGUUACCUUUACCUUUAUCUUUAGCUUUAGCUUUACCUUUACCUUUAUCUUUACCUUGAUCUUUACCUUUAUCUUUACCUUUACCUUUAUCUACUUGAGUUAGUAGCAGAAACUUGGAUUGUGGAUUUUGACAAAUGUUUUAGUAGGCUGUUAGUGGAAUAAUAAUGAAUUAGCAGUCGACAAAAAUAACAUUGAUAGACUCUCCAGUUUCAAUUCAUUCUCUACUUUCUCAGUAUGAAACCCAACCUGACCCUAAGUAAACAAAGCGAUCUGAUUUUAGAUGCCUUUUUUUUUUCAUAUUCACUAGCCUUUUGAAAACUUAAGCCCAAAGUUAUAAAACUAUAACAGGUGCUCUUAUUUGUGUCCCGUGAGUUAUGUUUGUAGGAUGGACAACGUUAAAAGAUCAAUUCUGCCUGGAGAGUACAAGGACUAAACUUUACGCUGCUUCCUAGAUUCAAGAGAAAAGGGUCUAUGUAAAAAGGACAAUAUCCAGAACAGACAAGUCACCAGCCUGCUCUUUGACAUUCAAAGCAUGGGACGCCUGACUGGGAUAUUUCUUAGUCGUUUUUUUGUUGUUGUUGUUGUCAUAUGCUAUAUUACUUUCUGUUUGUUAAAACAGGACCUCGAAACAACACAACACAUCACCUCAUUUUAUUUUAUUUUUCUUACCAAAACCCGGAGAGAGGAAACUAAAUCUUGCACAAUUGCUCAUUAAAAUCCAUGUUGUAUUAUUUUGGAUUUAAGUUCAUGUUUGUUUGGUUGUUACAAAUAGUGUCACUGCCAACCAAUGCUUGUGAGGUAAUAAGUGCAGGUAUGUUCAAGUUGACACUUACCAGUCUAUCCCUGGAAAACUGUCCGCUAGGCUGAUACAUUGUCUAAACUAUGAACAUUUAAUGAUUGAUCAUGAUACAUGCGAUUCUUACAUUUGAAAGAGUUUGACUGUUUCUCUCAGAGGAGAUUGGAUAUAAAUAUUGAUAUAAAUGGGGAAAAAAAGGUUAUGUCUAAAUCAUAGCCUUUUUAUAUCAAGUAUACAUUUUAAAAGACCAUGGCUAUGUUCAAUUCCAGACAAAAUUGUAGGAUUCAAAUGUAGCAUUUAUCUUUUUAUUCAUUUAUUGAUAAAAAAAAGUAAAAGUAAUUAGCAUUGAGUUUGUCCUCUCUGGGUUUCUGUCAGCUGAUCUGAAUUCUAGCACUUUCAACCUUUAAAAAAAAAAAAAUGUUUAUUUUUUUCUUUUAACAUUUCAUCUUAUAUGUUGAUAUGUUUUUUUCAUUUGUAUUUGAUCCUGUAUAUGUAUGUGCCAUUAGUUUGAUGUGUAGAUUUUUAUCAACUUUUGUGUAUUUUUCUCCAAAAGAAUAACAGUAUUUUUGAUAAGACUUUUCACUAAUACCUUCUAUCAUGUGCCCCCCACUCCCCUCUCAGCCCGUUGGGUAACCAGCGUUGCCUUCUCUAUUGAAAUGGUAUCUAACCAACAACAAAUAUAUUCUACAACCAAGUAUCUGUAACAGAGAGCAUGGUGAACAUUACACAUCAUCGUCCCUAGGACAUCACAUUGACAAUCUGGAAUAGAAGGACAACCAGAUCGACCUCUUCUUCAAGAUGAAAAAGAGCAGGUCCUGUUCUCCGACAGAUGUGACAUAGUUCCAUUUAACAGCACAUUAUCUGGGGAACCCAGUUUUAAAGCACUUUUAUUUAGCACCCAUGUUCAUAACAACUGACUGAUGCAUGACUGAAAAGGGUUGUACUACUGCCUAGUAGCUAGAUAACACAUGUUGCUUCUAGACAGAUUCAGGCAGUCUUGAAAUGAAUAUUGUACAACACUCUGUAUUGACCAUGCUGUGCCAAGACAGGGCUUGCUAUAGAGAAGGCAAGUAAGUCUCCAUCUGCCCCAGUUUACAGUAGACUUCACCUCACACAUAACAGUUUACAGUAGACUUCACCUCACACAUAAGUUUACAGUAGACCUCAUCCCACACAUAACAGUUUACAGUAGACUUCACCUCACACAUAACAGUUUACAGUAGACUUCACCUCACACAUAACAGUUUACAGUAGACCUCACCCCACACAUAACAGUUUACAGUAGACUUCACCUCACACAUAAGUUUACAGUAGACCUCACCUCACACAUAACAGUUUACAGUAGACUUCACCCCACACAUAACAGUUUACAGUAGUUCUCACCUCACACAUAAGUUUACAGUAGACUUCACCUCACACAUAACAGUUUACAGUAGACCUCACCCCACACAUAACAGUUUACAGUAGAGAUGAUAGAAAUGCUAAUAAUUCAUUGGCGGAAGAGAACUAAAACUAAAGUACUUGUUGGGAGGCGCUGUAAAUGCUACGUUUUGCAGAGCUAACCUUGGGAAGUGGCCUUUUCAGGAGUAUUUUAGCAGUACUUCAGUAUCAUCAGGAUGACCUAAUCAUGAGUCCAUCCCACUCGUUUUUGGAGAGAUGCCUCUGCUCUACCCCUGAGAAGGCCUACCUCUGACAGUGGUGUUAUGAUUUAAAGCAUCAGAUAGGUCAUUGGCAUCGUUAAUGAAAGGUUGUGGAAGUAAUAUCUCGCCUUCAGUUUUGACUGAGUGCGGAGCGGAUGUUUCCGCUACAAUACCUUGUUGGUUCAUUACCUCACCUGCACCUACUAGAGAUGCACUUGUCCUCACCGUUCCUCUGUUAGUAGGUGAACAACACAGAAUUUAAGGGAAUUAUUUGAUACAUUUUAAGUCAGAAAACCAAUUGGAUUUCAUGAAUGCUUUUUUUUUUUUUUCUUAGUGAGAAACUGGGUACUGUCUGGUGAAGACAAAAUCCACAUGUAGUUUUAUAUAUUUUUAGCUUAAUGUAAGUCUUGCAUUCUAAGCUUUUUGUGUAUCUUGUUUAGUGACAUAGACAUUUAUUUUUAGUACUUGCUUAUUACAGCCAACUCUGGAAAAAAGGUGAACAAAACAAAAAUGGAAUAUUUGCAUUCAUCCUUACACUAUUUUCUAUAGCAUGGAGUUUAUCAACUACAGGGAGAAUUGUAUAAAAAUAUUCUUCAGAGAAAAACGUAGCUUUUUUUUGUUACAUAUCUCACAUGCAAUCAGUUGCUGCAAUGUAAAGUGACAGAUUUGUACAUUGGUUGAUCCAAAGAGAUGACAUAACAGCAAACCUCUUUACUUAUUGUACAGUACAUUGUAUCUUUGACUUGUCAUGUGUUAUGUUGAAAUUAUUAAAAGACAAAUUCACGGUU